rnacentral:lncRNA from 10 species
CGGCGCUCGCGCCUCUUAGGCUUGGCGGUGGCGGCGGCGGCAGCUUCGCGCCGAAUCCCCGGGGAGCGGCGGUGGCGGCGUCCUGGGGCCAGGAGGAGCGAACACCUGCCGCGGUCCUCCCGCCGGCGCUGGGGCCACUGCUCUCCAGGAAGAUAAGGCUUUUAAAGCAGCCUAGCACUAGAAGAGAUGGGGUUCUUCCUCUUUGCCUAGGCACACGACUGUCUAUCCCAGAUGGCUGCACUGGCCUAGGACAGACGGUUCUUCCCCCAGUACGUCAAGACCCUGGAGGGUGCAAGCUACAGAACAGCUGGGCUCCUGCAUUCCUCCCAGACCCUGUCUUCAGUAGGACAACAGGCAACAAACUUAAAUUUG